GACGAACGCUGGCGGCGCGCCUAACACAUGCAAGUCGAACGAGCGAGAGAGAGCUUGCUUUCUCGAGCGAGUGGCGAACGGGUGAGUAACGCGUGAGGAACCUGCCUCAAAGAGGGGGACAACAGUUGGAAACGACUGCUAAUACCGCAUAAGCCCACGGUGCCGCAUGGCACAGAGGGAAAAGGAGCAAUCCGCUUUGAGAUGGCCUCGCGUCCGAUUAGCUAGUUGGUGAGGUAAUGGCCCACCAAGGCGACGAUCGGUAGCCGGACUGAGAGGUUGAACGGCCACAUUGGGACUGAGACACGGCCCAGACUCCUACGGGAGGCAGCAGUGGGGAAUAUUGCACAAUGGGGGAAACCCUGAUGCAGCGACGCCGCGUGGAGGAAGAAGGUCUUCGGAUUGUAAACUCCUGUUGUUGGGGAAGAUAAUGACGGUACCCAACAAGGAAGUGACGGCUAACUACGUA
rnacentral:rRNA from 1 species